rnacentral:rRNA from 1 species
UCGCGAAAACUCCGCAAUGCGCGAAAGCGCGACGGGGUCACCCCGAGUGCCAUCCGCUGAGGAUGGCUUUUCCCCAGUGUAGAAAGCUGGGGGAAUAAGGGGAGGGCAAGUCGGGUGUCAGCCGCCGCGGUAAUACCCGCUCCCCGAGUGGUGGGGACGCUUAUUGGGCCUAAAGCAUCCGUAGCCGGCUGGGUUAGUCCCCUGUUAAAUCCAGCGAUUCAAUCGCUGGACUGCGGGGGAUACUGCCCGGCUAGGGGGCGGGAGAGGCCGGCGGUAUUCCCGGGGUAGGGGUGAAAUCCUAUAAUCCCGGGAGGACCACCAGUGGCGAAGGCUGCCGGCUAGAACGUGCCCGACGGUGAGGGAUGAAAGCUGGGGGAGCGAACCGGAUUAGAUACCCGGGUAGUCCCAGCCGUAAACGAUGCGGGCUAGGUGUUGACACGGCUACGGGCCGUGUCAGUGCCGCAGGGAAGCCGUUAAGCCCGCCGCCUGGGGAGUACGGCCGCAAGGCUGAAACUUAAAGGAAUUGGCGGGGGAGCACCACAAGGGGUGAAGCUUGCGGUUUAAUUGGAGUCAACGCCGGAAACCUUACCGGGGGCGACAGCAGGAUGAAGGCCAGAUUGAAGGUCUUACCAGACAAGCU